rnacentral:rRNA from 1 species
AUUGAACGCUGGCGGCAGGCUUAACACAUGCAAGUCGAGCGAGCGGCGGACGGGUGAGUAAUGUCUGGGAAACUGCCUGAUGGAGGGGGAUAACUACUGGAAACGGUAGCUAAUACCGCAUACCAUCAGAUGUGCCCAGAUGGGAUUAGCUAGUAGGUGGGGUAAUGGCUCACCUAGGAGACGAUCCCUAGCUGGUCUGAGAGGAUGACCAGACACACUGGACGUGAGACACGGCCGAGACUCCGACGGGAGGAAGCAGGGGGGAAUAUUGAACAAUGGGCGAAAGCGUGAUGCAGCCAUGCCGCGAGUGUGAAGAAGGCUUUCGGGUUGUAAAGCACUUUCAGCGAGGAGGCGUUACUCGCAGAAGAAGCACCGGCUAACUCCGUGCCAGCGCCGCGGUAAUUC